rnacentral:rRNA from 1 species
GUGCCAGCCGCCGCGGUAAUACGGAGGGGGCAAGCGUUAUUCGGAUUUACUGGGCGUAAAGGGUGUGUAGGCCGUCGCGCAAGUCUGGUGUGAAAUCUUCACCACUCAACGGGAAGAGGUCACUGGAAACUGCGUGACUUGAGUUUGGUAGAGGCGAGCGGAAUUCCUGGUGUAGCGGUGGAAUGUGUAGAUAUCAGGAAGAACACCGGUGGCGAAGGCGGCUCGCUGGGCCAAUACUGACGCUGAAACACGAAAGCGUGGGGAGCAAACGGGAUUAGAAACCCGGGUAGUCC